rnacentral:rRNA from 1 species
CAACUCAACUUUAUUAGAAGAGACGCAUUUAUUAGAUAAAAAGCCAAUGCAUGCUUUUACAGUAUGGAAAUUGGUGAUUUAUAAUAACUUAGCAAAUCGCAAAGUGAAAACAGGCGAUAAAUCAUUCAAGUUUCUGACCUAUCAGCUUUCGACGGUAUGGUAUUGGCUUACCGUGGCAGUGACGGUUAACGGGGGAUUAGGGUUCGAUUCCGGAGAGGGAGCCUGAGAAACGGCUACCACAUCUAAGGAAGGCAGCAGGCGCGCAAAUUACCCAAUUCUAACAGUUUGAGAGAGGUAGUAACAAGAAAUAACAAUACAAGGCAAUUAAAAUGCUUUGUAAUUGGAAUGAUAGAAAUUUAAACCCUUUUUAAAGUAUCAAUUGGAGGGCAAGUCUGGUGCCAGCAGCCGCGGUAAUUCCAGCUCCAAUAGCGUAUAUUAAAAUUGUUGCAGUUAAAAAGCUCGUAGUUGAAGUUCUGCUAAAAGUAACCGGUCUGCUUUUAAUAAAAGUGGUAUCUUGGUGUGUAUUUAGCAAUGAUGUCCUUUGAAGUGUUUUUUACUUUAUUGUAAUAAAGCAUAUUCAGGACUUUUACUUGAGAAAAU